rnacentral:lncRNA from 1 species
GAUCAAGGUUCACAUAGUUGUAUUUCUCAGGGCCGAGACACAACCUAACAGAUGGCAGAUACAAGAAGCUGUUCCUUCUGCUCGCCUUGGCCAAGUACAUGGACCCUCGCUGUUUGCCUCUUCCAUUAGCCACGGUCACGGCCCCUGAGAAACACAAUGGAAUGCGCUGUUCUUCAGAAACGACACACAGCCCCAUUUCGUCUCUGUUUAGCAAGCAGGUUUGGAGUCUGGGACCCAGAGGUCCAUGUGGUCCCUGAGUGCUCACAUCGUGAGGGUUCAUCAUCGCCAGGGUUAGAGCUUCCUCACCAAGGAGCCUCGGCUGGAAUCCAUGAUCCACAGAGAAGGGAAGCCAGAACCUGUGUUUGCUCAUCACCAGCCUGUCAAUCAAGAGGCUGACUUUGGGGAGCUUUGUACAGCUGCUCCAAGAGAAGCCGGAGCUCCCGGGGGAGCCUCUGCCCAGGUGGAAGAGACUGCGAGUGAGUGGCCCUUAUUAGGGAUGAUAGCUGGGAAGCUGGUUGUCAUGGCACUGCAGAGGCUAGCGCUGCCCUCCAAGCUGUCCCCAUUUCCCAGGCUGUAUACAUAA